CCUACGGGUGGCAGCAGUCGAGAAUCAUUCACAAUGGGGGAAACCCUGAUGGUGCGACGCCGCGUGGGGGAAUGAAGGUCUUCGGAUUGUAAACCCCUGUCAUGUGGGAGCAAAUUAAAAAGAUAGUACCACAAGAGGAAGAGACGGCUAACUCUGUGCCAGCAGCCGCGGUAAUACAGAGGUCUCAAGCGUUUUUCGGAAUCACUGGGCGUAAAGCGUGCGUAGGCUGUUUCGUAAGUCGUGUGUGAAAGGCGCGGGCUCAACCCGCGGACGGCACAUGAUACUGCGAGACUAGAGUAAGGGAGGGGGAACCGGAAUUCGCGGUGUAGCAGUGAAAUGCGUAGAUAUCGAGAGGAACACUCGUGGCGAAGGCGGGUUCCUGGACAUUAACUGACGCUGAGGCACGAAGGCCAGGGGAGCGAAAGGGAUUAGAUACCCGAGUAGUC
rnacentral:rRNA from 1 species